GGAAUAUUGGGCAAUGGGCGCAAGCCUGACCCAGCGACGCCGCGUGAGGGAAGAAGGUCUUCGGAUUGUAAACCUUAGUCAACAGGGACGAAGCAUGACGGUACCUGUGGAGGAAGCCACGGCUAACUACGUGCCAGCAGCCGCGGUAAUACGUAGGUGGCGAGCGUUAUCCGGAUUUACUGGGCGUAAAGGGUGUGUAGGCGGGACGGUAAGUCAGAUGUGAAAACUAUGGGCUUAACUCAUAGCCUGCAUUUGAAACUGCUGUUCUUGAGAGUCGGAGAGGUAAAUGGAAUUCCCGGUGUAGCGGUGAAAUGCAUAGAUAUCGGGAGGAACACCAGUGGCGAAGGCGAUUUACUGGACGACCACUGACGCUGAGACACGAAAGUGUGGGGAGCAAACA
rnacentral:rRNA from 1 species